UCAUAAACAAAUCGGAGAUAAGUAUUCAUUUUUUUUACAUCAUUACAUCAGUCACCUCGGUCGGGAAACUAUUUUCAUAUUCCCGCCAAGGAUAAACAUCAGUUAUAUUCUGUACAUUACAACACUAUUGACCUUUUUCCUUGUCUUUACAGCUGGCAUGAUCCCAGACUCGUAAUACUUGUUUACCAAAAACCAUCCAAGCUAUGGGAUUGAAGGUUACGGCGAGUUUGUCGCUAAGAUUGGAAUCUUUCUUCAACACAUCAUCGACCGUAAAAAACUUAAGGGACACGAGAGAACAAAAUACGGAUGAAACGUGCUAAUUCUACCGUCAGUCUGCUAAUCAGCUAAUGCAAAUCAGAGCGAUGCAGCAGGAAGAGGAACGGGAACUUGCUUUGGAAAUGCUCAUCAAAUUGAGGUGGUUGAGGCUGCGAUUAAAAUUUGCCUCUUGUACGCAGUUGUUAGAAUGAUUCCAACGAGAAUUAUUGAUGUUGUUUAUAGAAUAAGUUAUUAGUAUAAUGUAUUCUAAGUAUGUAGAAUUAAACGCAAUCAAAUACAAUUUUUAAAUUAAAAAUAA